CGUACUUGGCGACGAGGCGCGGCGAGUCGCUGAGCAGCAGGCGGAUGUCGGCGGGGUUGAGGCGCUCGCUGCACUCGGGGCAGCAGAUGUUGACGCGGGACUCGGUGAUCUCGAUGCGCAGCCUCGGCCACCGCAGCUUGCUUACAGCUCUGGCGUCACAGUACGAUGACAUCCCAACGUGUCGUUGACACACGCUGGCCCAUGACACUGAUGACAACGUGCCAGCGGCACACACGCGCCCCUUUGACACCGUGGUUCCAUGUCAUGGCAGCUGGUCUCGCCACGGAGUGCCACGAUGUGCCAUCGUGCCACGAACACACAAUGCCUGGUGGCACCUCGGUGCCAUGUCACGUUCACAUGUCAGCACGACCCAGCGUGCAAUGAAACCUCAGCGCCACGCCAUAUCUAUAGAUCAGUGCCAUACACCGCCUGAUGAUGCCUCUGCACCACAUCAGCUCAUCAUAAGUCUUGAUGACACCUUGGUACCACAAAACAGUAACAGCCGAUACCCGGUUGCCACCACAUAUCAAAAAAUUGCAGAUCAACUCUCCAGGGUGUUUCGGCACCAUCUAAUCAAACCGGGAGAGCUCUUGAAAAUGAUGACAGGACCAGCACAUAAUCCCACCACACACAAAAAAGCCAUUUACAAGCAGGAUGAUCCCCAAAAUGACAAAGACCUUUCCUAACCGGAACUUGAGGGCCACACCAAGUUUGCAUAAAAUUAAGUAUAUCACAGUCAUGCUUGUUUUUAACAUCUGCUGGGAUCAAGGUGAGAUAUUGUAUGCUGAGCCCUGUAGCUCUGAAGAAUGCACCUCUUUAUUAGACAUAAGACUGACUGUGAAAUGCACUGGAAAACUCCUUGGACCACCGUUUGGCUACGCCUUUUCUACAUAGUUCUUAGAAAGAAUAAUGAAGUGAUUUGUUCACCCUGUAACUCUUCUCUGAGGCAAAAUGUAGCCUGCGCUCUUUAUCACUCCAGUACAAAACUGGGUGAUGGCUAAAAGAGGACUUCCAUUGCAACCCAUACUCUUACCGCAUUAAUGCAGAAGAUGCAGAGCUACCAUUUACUUUUGAGUAUGGGGGUGUGUUUUGUACCCCUGGGGCUCUGCCAACUUUGUCUCCUGUUACAAGGCUGGUGGCCAAGCAGGAAAGACAUUGCCUCUUGUUGUACUGAGGAACGGAGCAGAAAAAUCUGACAUGUCUAGGAAGUUCAUAUUAAAGCAGCAUGGAAAGGUU